rnacentral:rRNA from 1 species
GAGUUUGAUCCUGGCUCAGAUUGAACGCUGGCGGCGUGCCUAACACAUGCAAGUCGAGCGGUAACAGGUGUAGCAAUACAUGCUGACGAGCGGCGAACGGGUGAGUAAUGCUUCGGAAUCUGCCCAAUGGUGGGGAAUAACCAGCCGAAAGGUUGGCUAAUACCGCAUACGUCCUACGGGAGAAAGCAGGGGAUCGCAAGACCUUGCGCCGAUGGAUGAGCCGAAGUCGGAUUAGCUAGUUGGUAGGGUAACGGCCUACCAAGGCGACAAUCCGUAGCUGGUCUGAGAGGACGACCAGCCACACUGGGACUGAGACACGGCCCAGACUCCUACGGGAGGCAGCAGUGGGGAAUAUUGGACAAUGGGGGCAACCCUGAUCCAGCGACGCCGCGUGUGUGAAGAAGGCCUGCGGGUUGUAAAGCAC